rnacentral:rRNA from 1 species
UACGUAGGUGACAAGCGUUGUCCGGAUUUACUGGGCGUAAAGAGCGCGCAGGCGGUCGAUCAAGUCGAGUGUGAAAGCCCCCGGCUCAACUGGGGAGGGUCAUUCGAAACUGGUCGACUCGAAGGCAGGAGAGGGUAGUGGAAUUCCCGGUGUAGUGGUGAAAUGCGUAGAUAUCGGGAAGAACACCAGCGGCGAAAGCGCGCUACUGGGCCAUUACUGACACUCAUGGACGAAAGCUAGGGGAGCGAAAGGG